CCUACGGGCUACGGGAGGCAGCAGUGGGGAAUUUUGGACAAUGGGCGAAAGCCUGAUCCAGCAAUGCCGCGUGCAGGAUGAAGGCCUUCGGGUUGUAAACUGCUUUUGUACGGAACGAAACGGUCCUUUCUAAUACAGAGGGCUAAUGACGGUACCGUAAGAAUAAGCACCGGCUAACUACGUGCCAGCAGCCGCGGUAAUACGUAGGGUGCAAGCGUUAAUCGGAAUUACUGGGCGUAAAGCGUGCGCAGGCGGUUAUGUAAGACAGUUGUGAAAUCCCCGGGCUCAACCUGGGAAUUGCAUCCGUGACUGCAUAGCUAGAGUACGGUAGAGGGGGAUGGAAUUCCGCGUGUAGCAGUGAAAUGCGUAGAUAUGCGGAGGAACACCGAUGGCGAAGGCAAUCCCCUGGACCUGUACUGACGCUCAUGCACGAAGACGUGGGAGGACGAACGAGAGUAGUAUACCUACGGUAGUACCGACCGACCGUAACCG
rnacentral:rRNA from 1 species